GAUGAACGCUAGCGGCAGGCCUAAUACAUGCAAGGCGAGGGGUUGGCAACAACACCGUCGUACGGGUGCGUAACGCGUAUGCAACCUACCUAUCACAGGGGGAUAGCCUUUGGAAACAGGGAUUAAUACCGCAUAAAGCAGGGGCUUGGCAUCAAGAUACUGCUAAAGAUUUAGCGGUGAUAGAUGGGCAUGCGUCUGAUUAGUUAGAUGGUGAGGUAACGGCUCACCAUGACGAUGAUCAGUAGGGGGCGUCAGAGCGUGGUCCCCCACACUGGCACUGAGAUACGGGCCAGACUCCUACGGGAGGCAGCAGUAGGGAAUAUUGGGCAAUGGAUGCAAGUCUGACCCAGCCAUGCCGCGUGGAGGAAGAAGGUCCUCUGGAUUGUAAACUCCUUUUGUCGGGGAAGAAUAGUUCUCUUGCGAGGGAAAGUGACGGUACCCGAUGAAUAAGCCACGGCUAACUACGUGCCAGCCGCCGCGUAACAC
rnacentral:rRNA from 1 species